GAUGAACGCUGGCGGCGUGCCUAAUACAUGCAAGUCGAGCGAACGGACGAGAAGCUUGCUUCUCUGAUGUUAGCGGCGGACGGGUGAGUAACACGUGGAUAACCUACCUAUAAGACUGGGAUAACUUCGGGAAACCGUAGCUAAUACCGGAUAAUAUUUUGAACCGCAUGGUUCAAAAGUGAAAGACGGUCUUGCUGUCACUUAUAGAUGGAUCCGCGCUGCAUUAGCUAGUUGGUAAGGUAACGGCUUACCAAGGCAACGAUGCAUAGCCGACCUGAGAGGGUGAUCGGCCACACUGGAACUGAGACACGGUCCAGACUCCUACGGGAGGCAGCAGUAGGGAAUCUCCCGCAAUGGGCGAAAGCCUGACGGAGCAACGCCGCGUGAGUGAUGAAGGUCUUCGGAUCGUAAAACUCUGUUAUUAGGGAAGAACAUAUGUGUAAGUAACUGUGCACAUCUUGACGGUACCUAAUCAGAAAGCCACGGCUAACUACGUG
rnacentral:rRNA from 1 species